rnacentral:rRNA from 1 species
GGUUGAUCCUGCCAGUAGUCAUAUGCUUGUCUCAAAGAUUAAGCCAUGCAUGUCCAAGUAUAAGCAUUUAUACAGUGAAACUGCGAAUGGCUCAUUAAAUCAGUUAUCGUUUAUUUGAUCGUGUUACUACUUGGAUAACCGUGGUAAUUCUAGAGCUAAUACAUGCUAGCCUUCGGGCGUAUUUGUUAGAUAAAAAGCCAACUUUUGGUGAUUCAUAGCAACUAGUCGAAUCGCAAUUUGCGAUGGUUCAUUCAAAUUUCUGCCCUAUCAACUGUCGAUGGUAGGAUAG